rnacentral:rRNA from 1 species
GACUCUGUUCAACGGCCGCGGUAUUCUGACCGUGCGAAGGUAGCGUAAUCACUUGUUCUUUAAAUAAGGACUUGUAUGAAUGGCACCACGAGGGUUAUACUGUCUCCCUUUUCUAAUCAGUAAACCUAAUCUCCCCGUGAAGAAGCGGGGAUAAUAAUAUAAGACGAGAAGACCCCAUGGAGCUUCAAACAAACAGCACUUGCUCGCACUCUAAUUUCUAUUAAGCCAAGCAUUCUGACUGCUAGUUUUCGGUUGGGGCGACCACGGAGCAUAAACCACCCUCCGCGCUGAAAGAAUUCUAUUCUUAGCCAUAAGCUACAACUUUAAGCACCAUCAACUUGACAUCUAUUGACCCAAUAAAAUUGAUCAACGAACCUAGUUACCCUGGGGAUAACAGCGCAAUCCAUUUCAAGAGCCCCUAUCGACAAAUGGGUUUACGACCUCGAUGUUGGAUCAGGGUAUCCCAGUGGUGCAGCC